rnacentral:rRNA from 1 species
GACGAACGCUGGCGGCGUGCCUAAUACAUGCAAGUUGAGCGCUGAAGGUUGGUACUUGUACCAACUGGAUGAGCAGCGAACGGGUGAGUAACGCGUGGGGAAUCUGCCUUUGAGCGGGGGACAACAUCUGGAAACGAAUGCUAAUACCGCAUAAAACCUUUAAACACAAGAUUCAAGUUUGAAAGAUGCCAUUGCAUCACUCAAAGAUGAUUCCGCGUUGUAUUAGGUAGUUGGUGAGGUAAAGGCUCACCAAGGCGAUGAUACAUAGCCGACCUGAAUGGGUGGACGGCCAACUUGGGACUGGGACACGGCCCAAACUCCUACGGGAGGCAGCAGUAGGGAAUCUUCGGCAAUGGACGAAAGUCUGGACGAGCAAAGCUGGGGGGGUGAAGGAGGGUUUCGGAUCGGAAAACUCUGUUGGUAGGGAAGAAAGUGGGUGAGAGUGGAAAGCUCAUGAAGUGACGGUAACUAACCAGAAAGGAACGGCUAACUACGUG